rnacentral:lncRNA from 1 species
GAAAAACAUAUAUUUUAGAAAUUUCAAUUUGUACUCCGCUACUCAUAAAGGAAAGGCAAUAACAAAUCAUAGGAGAAUGAAACGCUCUCAAACCCAAAUCCUAGCCUCUCUUUAGUGCUGCAACAAGGGGGAAGGUGGUCUCUGCCAAUCCUCCCUUCUCCCCUCUCCCCCUCAUCUCUUCUCCUCUUCCCCCUUUUCUUUUCUCCUCUGCCCUCUUCCCUUUCAAC